rnacentral:lncRNA from 1 species
GGGGCUGGAGAAGGCAAAGUGCAGAGGAAGGAGGAGCCACUGCUAGUGGGUACGAGGUUUCUUCUUGGUACAAGGACUUCUACGUUCUGUCCUCCUGCAGCCAUCUAAAAUCAGCCAGAAAGGUUUAGGAUCCCAUUUCCUGUUCUUGCAUCGGCUGUCCAAGCUGCUGUUCCUCUCUCCGCAGUAAGAGGGUGUUUCUCUCCCUGUUCAAGAGGAGCACCAACACUUGAGUUUCCUCUCUGACACGUGCCCUGAAUUUCCCUCUCUGUGAACGGACAGUAUCAUCCCUAGACCUUGGCAAGAGAGACCACUGAGUGAGGCAUCCAUGGAACCCAAGGAAGAGGCCUACGAAGAACCUGCAGUCACCUUCUAGACCAUUCUCCCUCACCAAACUGUCCCCUCCAGAGAGCUGAGGACUGGAUCUUCCCAUGCUGACACCUCCAGUGGGAAAGAAAAUUCUAGAUUCAGCUCUGGGUGUCCAAGUCAUUAUGAAGGCAUAUUUGUCAAGGUGGAAGAAAAGGACAUAUUCUAUUUAGCAGUUUAAAGAAGUAAUGCAUGACUCUGAUUUGCGGCUGCAGGAUAAAUCCGAACUAUUUCAGGGAGAUGUCAUGGAGAGCUCAUCUCUCAGCAUCAAAGUUGCCUCUCCUGACUUUUGAAUUUUAAGUGUUCUGUGUGGAAGAAAAAUGGAGACAACAAAUUUCUAUGCAUGGAUUCAAAGAAUCCUCGUAAUAUACAGACUACAUUCUCCCCAGCUUUUUAUCUCUAUAUAUUCUUUUUGUUGAGUUUCAACCACAUAGGGUUGAAAUUCACCUUCCCACAUUACAUUUUUCAUCAAUAGUUGAAGACCUAUGUAUGUAAAUAUCAGGAACUAUCAGAACUCCCUGCAACAGGAAACCUGACCCCCAACUCCCCCGAAAUGCAUCAUGAUAAACAGUCACUUGCCAAAAUAACAAAUCAGCUUCCUGGAACAUGCUUGCUCAAAACCAGGAGAGGAGCUUAGAGACGUCAGCUUGACUUCUGCCUCGUACGCAGGAAGGGUGACCUUCAAAGAUCAAACAUCGUCCCAAAUCUCCCUUCAUCUUGUAGUACUCCUGCUUGUCGUAGCUCCUGUUACCAUCAGGUACUGGGCCAACCAUCCGUCAUGUCAGAAGAGAGUUGGGGACAAUCCCUGGAUUAUUUCACCUUUGCCCUGCUGGUAUAGACAAUGUGUGUUAUGGCUGGGUGACUUGCUGACUUUUACUCUGAGCAACAGCUUUGUCAGAGUAAACUAAAACAGAGACUUCAGAGCAUAAUAAAA